AAUGCCACAAAUGUAUCAAGUUGAGGCAGUGUGCAAUUGGCAUGCUGACUGCAGGAAUGUCCACCAGAGCUGUUGCCAAAUAAUUGAAUGUUCAUUUCCACAAGUUACCUCCAACGUUGUUUUAGAGAAUUUGGCAGUACGUCCAACCAGCCUCACACCCGCAGACCAUGUGUAACUACGACAGCCCAGGACCUCCACAUCUGGCUUCUUCACCUCUGGGAUCAUCUGAAACCAGCCACCCAGACAGCUGUGGGUUUGCACAACCGAAAAACCGUUUCUGGGAAGCUUAUCUCUGUUCAUCGUUCUCACCAGGGUCUUGACCUGACUGCAGUUCGGUAUCGUAACUGACUUCAGUGGGCAAAUGCUCACCUUCGAUGAAAACUGGCACACUGGAGAAGUUUGCUCUUCAAGAUUAAAUCCUGGUUUCAACUGUACCGGGCAGAUGGCAGACAGCAUGAAUGGCGUCAUGUUGGUUGUCCACAUACAGGACGAACUGGUCCCAGGAGAGAGUGUAUGCCUGGUCCAAGGCCUCCUUACUAGGCAGCCCACCGAGUCUCAGAAUGUGGUUCUCCUCAGAGAGAAAGUGACUCUGAUGGACAAUGUCAUCAAAGUCCUUGAGCGUUCAGGAAGCCAAGAUGGUUCAGCUCAAAAAGAGGCAGAAGGACGAGGAGCUGCAGCAGAAUAGCCAUUGGAAGCCCAUGGCAAAUAACCGUGAAACUUGGCAUCAAACUAAAUGAGAAUAUGUAUAGAAGGAAGCAACGAGCCAAUGGCAUGAACUGGUAGUGGUUGUGCUUUUUACAUUUUUAUUCCCUCUGAAUCCCCUAGGUUCUUCUUUAAAAAUGUACUUCCCCCUGCACCUCCCCACAUCCCACCAUUUACUCCUCUUUAUUAUUUACUUUUCUCCCCCUCUGCCUUCUUAUUUCCUUUUCUCCUUGCGACAUCAUCCAACAUGUCUGGGAAGUUCAGUCCAAAUCACUGAAACAUAAACACAGCCGUUAGCUUUGGUUCUAAGACACUUAUCAGUUCAUGUAUCAGAAUUCAACACUUAUUAUUAUAACUUCUGAGACAGCUGUGGCUGAUCUGGCAUAGGAAUAAUACCAAGGGAGGUGGAAACAGAUCAUUUUCAGAUGCAAAGCUAUACUGUUCUGUCAUAUCUAUUCUAGUUCCGAAGUCAUGUUUAAUAAGGUUAUGAGCCUGGCAUAUCUAAAUAACCUGAGAGAUAUACAACAAAUCUGGAACAGCAGGUGCAUGUUGACAUGACUCCAUAGCAACCUCUACUCAGAUUUUAUUGGUAGCUAAAGGGAAAGUUAAAGGGGGCAUCUAGUCAGUUGUACAACUGAAUACAUUCAACUGAAAUGUGUCUUUUGCAUUUAACCCAACCUCUGAAUUAGAGAGGUGUGGAGGGGCUGCCUUAAUCGAGAUCCACGUCUUCGAAGCCCGGGGAAGAGUACCUUGCUCAGGGGCAGAAUGACAGAUUUUUACCUUGUCAACCUGGUUCUAUUCAGAUUCUAAGGCUUGGUUCAACACUCACCAUCAGUCAGACUCAUUCCAUAUCUGCCAGUCUGAAUCCUCCUCUGAUGUCUGUUUGUCUCUUCCUCCUCUUCGCAUCAUCUCUAUCAUUCUCUUCUCUGUCAGUUUCAUUUUCACUUCCUUCUCCUUUUCUUUCCUCUCUUUUCCUGCUCCUUUUUAAUUUCCUUAGUUUAAGCGCUCUAUUUUUUCCUCUUGCUUUUGUACCUUUUUCUCAGCUUCAGCCAACCUUUUCUCAGCUUCAGCCAACCUUUUCUCAGCUUCAGCCAACCUUUUCUCAGUUUCAGCCAACCUUUUCUCAGCUUUUUCGUUAUCCUUCUUCUCUUUCUCCAGGCGCUUCUUCUCAUCUUGUUCUGCUUCAGUCAAACUUAUCUUCUCCUUUUCUUUUAAUUUCUCCUUCUCCGGGUUCUUUAUUCUCUCCUUUUCUGCUUCAAACACAAGUUUCUCAUCCAGUUGUUCCUUAAUCUCAUUCUCAAGGAUCUUCAAUAUCUCCUUUUCUCUUUUUUUCUCUUCUUCCAAUUUACAUUUCUCCUCUUCUGUUUAUUUCCUCUCAUUCUCCAGGUUCUUAAUCGUCUUUCUUUUUUCUUCCUCCAACCUGAGUCUUUCCUCCUUUUCUUUUCCUUCUCCAUGAAUAUCAUCCUCUCUUCCUUUCUAUCUUUGUCAAAUGUCUCCGCCAAUCUUAAAUCCCUCAGCCUGUUUUAUCUUAAUUUCAUCUAGACAUUUAUGACUUUCCUUCAUCUGUUCUAUCAAUUUGUUAUCUUCCAGUUUUUCUCUUCCUUGAUAUCUACUUUCUGUCAAUUGCUCCUCACUGUUAUAUCCCUUCUCACCUGCGCUCUGCAUCUUUGUACAUUUUUUCUCCACCUCUUUUUCCACAGUUUCAUGUAUUCUGACCCUGUGGUUCUCCCUCUCCUCAUCUAUUGUCUUCAUCAUAAACAUCUCCUGCUCCAUUUUCUGGAUUAUACAGUGCUUUUGGAAAAUAUUCAGACCCCUUUACUUUUUCAGCAUUUUUUUUUUACA